GACAGAGGGCGCAAGCGUUGUUCGGAAUUACUGGGCGUAAAGCGCGCGUAGGCGGAUCUGUAUGUCCGUAAGUGAAAUCCCGCCGCUCAACGGCGGGGCUGCUUGGGAAACGGCAGGUCUGGGGGACCGGUAGAGGUCGGUAGAAUUCCCGGUGUAGCGGUGGAAUGCGUAGAGAUCGGGAAGAAUACCCGUGGCGAAGGCGGCCGACUGGGCCGGAUCCGACGCGUGAUGCGCGAAAGCGUGGGGAGCAAACAGGAUU
rnacentral:rRNA from 1 species